UACGUAGGGGGCAAGCGUUGUCCGGAAUCAUUGGGCGUAAAGAGCGUGUAGGCGGCUCGGUAAGUCCGCUGUGAAAGUCCAGGGCUCAACCCUGGAAUGCCGGUGGAAACUGUCGAGCUAGAGUCCGGAAGAGGAGAGUGGAAUUCCCGGUGUAGCGGUGAAAUGCGCAGAUAUCGGGAAGAACACCGGUGGCGAAGGCGGGUCUCUGGGCCGAUACUGACACUGAGAAGCGAAAGCGUGGGGAGCAAACAGG
rnacentral:rRNA from 1 species